rnacentral:lncRNA from 1 species
GGGGGCCUUUAUAGUUUGCUGUUCGGUAUGAGCCAAGGCUCCAUGUUGAAGACUCCUUUGACCUAUAAUGGUUUACUUUUACAAAUUGUGACUUGGAUGGAGAGUUGUCUCAUCAACACUAAUACCACAUCUUCUUAAUAUCUAUUUACAAAUAAAGGAACAUGGUUCUAAUGUCCCCUUUUCGGUUUGUUUCUCAUCAAUUUUUUUAAUAAAUUUC